CAGACAGAUUAUAACAAGAUAUUAUAAGAUAUUAUAACAAGAUAUGAAUGUUCUAUCUGCCAUAUUGACUUAUCAUCAAUUAACUUUCAAAAUGGAAAUAAGAUGCUCCAAAACGGAAAAUGGGAAGAGAUAUGUAGGUCUCAGGGUUAAGGUCUCAGGGUUAAGGUCUCAGGGUUAAGGUCUCAGGGUUAAGGUCUCAGGGUUACGGUCUCAGGGUUAAGGUCUCAGGGUUAAGGUCUCAGGGUUAAGGUCUCAGGGUUAAGGUCUCAGGGUUAAGGUCUCAGGGUUAAGGUCUCAGGGUUAAGGUCUCAGGGUUAAGGUCUCAGGGUUACGGUCUCAGGGUUAAGGUCUCAGGGUUAAGGUCUCAGGGUUAAGGUCUCAGGGUUAAGGUCUCAGGGUUACGGUCUCAGGGUUAAGGUCUCAGGGUUAAGGUCUCAGGGUUAAGGUCUCAGGGUUAAGGUCUCAGGGUUAAGGUCUCAGGGUUAAGGUCUCAGGGUUAAGGUGUCAGGGUUAAGGUCUCAGGGUUAAGGUCUCAGGGUUAAGGUGUCAGGGUUACGGUCUCAGGGUUAAGGUCUCAGGGUUACGGUCUCAGGGUUAACGUCUCAGGGUUAAGGUCUCAGGGUUAAGGUCUCAGGGUUAAGGUGUCAGGGUUAAGGUCUCAGGGUUGCGGUGUCAGGGUUAAGGUCUCCGGGUUAAGGUCUCCGGGUUAAGGUGUCAGGGUUACGGUCUCAGGGUUAAGAUGUCAGGGUUAAGGGUGUCAGGGUAACGGUGUCAGGGUUACGGUCUCCGGGUUAAGGUCUCAGGGUUACGGUGUCAGGGUUACGGUCUCAGGGUUAAGGUGUCAGGGUUACGGUCUCAGGGUUAAGGUGUCAGGGUUACGGUCUCAGGGUUAAGGUGUCAGGGUUACGGUCUCAGGGUUAAGGUCUCAGGGUUACGGUCUCAGGGUUAAGGUGUCAGGGUUACGGUCUCAGGGUUAAGGUCUCAGGGUUACGGUCUCAGGGUUACGGUCUCAGGGUUAAGGUGUCAGGGUUAAGGUUUCAGGGUUAAGGUGUCAGGGUUACGGUCUCAGGGUUAAGGUCUCAGGGUUAAGGUGUCAGGGUUACGGUCUCAGGGUUAAGGUCUCAGGGUUACGGUCUCAGGGUUACGGUCUCAGGGUUAAGGUGUCAGGGUUACGGUCUCAGGGUUACGGUGUCAGGGUUAAGGUGUCAAGGUUAAGGUGUCAGGGUUAAGGUGUCAGGGUUAAGGUCUCAGGGUUAAGGUGUCAGGGUUACGGUCUCAGGGUUAAGGUGUCAGGGUUAAGGUGUCAGGGUUAAGGUUUCAGGGUUACGGUCUCAGGGUUAAGGUGUCAGGGUUAAGGUCUCAGGGUUAAGGUCUCAGGGUUAAGGUCUCAGGGUUACGGUGUCAGGGUUAAGGUCUCUGGGUUAAGGUGUCAGGGUUAAGGUCUCAGGGUUAAGGUCUCAGGGUUAAGGUCUCAGGGUUAAGGUCUCAGGGUUAAGGUAUCAGGGUUACGGUGUCAGGGUUAAGGUCUCAGGGUUACGGUCUCAGGGUUAACGUCUCAGGGUUAAGGUCUCAGGGUUAAGGUCUCAGGGUUAAGGUGUCAGGGUUAAGGUCUCAGGGUUAAGGUGUCAGGGUUACGGUCUCAGGGUUAAGGUGUCAGGGUUAAGGUGUCAGGGUUAAGGUCUCAGGGUUAAGGUGUCAGGGUUACGGUCUCAGGGUUAAGGUGUCAGGGUUAAGGUGUCAGGGUUAAGGUUUCAGGGUUACGGUCUCAGGGUUAAGGUGUCAGGGUUAAGGUCUCAGGGUUAAGGUCUCAGGGUUAAGGUCUCAGGGUUACGGUGUCAGGGUUAAGGUCUCUGGGUUAAGGUGUCAGGGUUAAGGUGUCAGGGUUAAGGUCUCAGGGUUGCGGUGUCAGGGUUAAGGUCUCCGGGUUAAGGUCUCCGGGUUACGGUGUCAGGGUUACGGUCUCAGGGUUAAGGUGUCAGGGUUACGGUCUCAGGGUUAAGGUCUCAGGGUUACGGUCUCAGGGUUAAGGUGUCAGGGUUACGGUCUCAGGGUUAAGGUCUCAGGGUUACGGUCUCAGGGUUACGGUCUCAGGGUUAAGGUGUCAGGGUUAAGGUUUCAGGGUUAAGGUGUCAGGGUUACGGUCUCAGGGUUAAGGUCUCAGGGUUAAGGUGUCAGGGUUACGGUCUCAGGGUUAAGGUCUCAGGGUUACGGUCUCAGGGUUACGGUCUCAGGGUUAAGGUGUCAGGGUUACGGUCUCAGGGUUAAGGUCUCAGGGUUACGGUCUCAGGGUUACGGUCUCAGGGUUAAGGUGUCAGGGUUACGGUCUCAGGGUUAAGGUGUCAGGGUUAAGGUGUCAGGGUUACGGUCUCAGGGUUAAGGUGUCAAGGUUAAGGUGUCAAGGUUAAGGUGUCAGGGUUACGGUCUCAGGGUUAAGGUGUCAGGGUUAAGGUCUCAGGGUUACGGUUUCAGGGUUAAGGUGUCAGGGUUAAGGUGUCAGGGUUACGGUCUCAGGGUUAAGGUGUCAGGGUUAAGGUGUCAGGGUUAAGGUCUCAGGGUUAAGGUGUCAGGGUUACGGUCUCAGGGUUAAGGUGUCAGGGUUAAGGUGUCAGGGUUAAGGUUUCAGGGUUACGGUCUCAGGGUUAAGGUGUCAGGGUUAAGGUCUCAGGGUUAAGGUCUCAGGGUUAAGGUCUCAGGGUUACGGUGUCAGGGUUAAGGUCUCUGGGUUAAGGUGUCAGGGUUAAGGUGUCAGGGUUAAGGUCUCAGGGUUGCGGUGUCAGGGUUAAGGUGUCAGGGUAACGGUGUCAGGGUUACGGUCUCCGGGUUAAGGUCUCAGGGUUACGGUGUCAGGGUUAAGGUAUCAGGGUUAAGGUGUCAGUGUUAAGGUCUCAUGGUUAAGGUCUCAAGGUUACGGUGUCAGGGUUAGGGUCUCAGGGUUACGGUGUCAGGGUUUAGGUCUCAGGGUUAAGGUCUCAGCGUUAAGGUGUCAGGGUUAAGGUCUCAGCGUUAAGGUGUCAGGGUUAAGGUCUCAGGGUUAAGGUCUCAGCGUUAAGGUGUCAGGGUUAAGGUCUCAGCGUUACGGUGUCAGGGUUUAGGUCUCAGGGUUAGGGUCUCAGGGUUAAGGGUUGUAUGCUUACUCCUCCCUGCCAGUGAAGGUGUAUGAUCGUUUCCAGGGAUUGGGGAGCGA